CUGGCUCAGGACGAACGCUAGCGGCGUGCCUAACACAUGCAAGUCGAACGGACGAGAGGAGCUUGCUCCUCAAGUUAGUGGCGAACGGGUGAGUAACGCGUGAGCAACCUGCCUUUCAGAGGGGGACAACGGUUGGAAACGACCGCUAAUACCGCAUGAAGCAUCUGGGUCGCAUGGCCUAGAUGUUAAAGAUUUAUCGCUGAAAGAUGGGCUCGCGUCUGAUUAGAUAGUUGGCGGGGUAACGGCCCACCAAGUCGACGAUCAGUAGCCGGACUGAGAGGUUGAACGGCCACAUUGGGACUGAGAUACGGCCCAGACUCCUACGGGAGGCAGCAGUGGGGAAUAUUGGGACCAAUGGGGGAAACCCUGACCCAGCAACGCCGCGUGAAGGAAGAAGGCUUUCGGGUUGUAAACUUCUUUACCAGGGACGAAGGACGUGACGGUACCUGGAGAAAAAGCCACGGCUAACUACGUGCCAGCAGCCGC
rnacentral:rRNA from 1 species